AUGACCGGAGUUCAGGUGAUGCCGGGGGUGGGCGCGGUGACCACGGUCGACGUGAGGACGGAGGGCGGCAAGGCGGUGGCGGGGCUCGCGAGGAGGCGUGUGGCGGUGGGGAGCAGCUCGAGCACGAGCCUGUUUGCUGGUGACUGGAGGAGGAGGCCUCGCCGGGCGACCUGCUCCGUCAGGCUCAGGCAGUGUGGCCGGGGCAGGGGCGGCAGGAGCGGCGGCCUCGCCAUCGUCAGCAACCUCGGGGGCAGUUACGAUGUUGGCUUUGGCGACGUCGACUUGCAACUGAUGAACUACUUUACCUACAAAGCCGUGAGGACCGUGCUGACCCAGCUCUACGAGAUGAACCCACCCAGCUACCGUUGGCUCUACAACUUUGUUGCUGUAAACAAGCCCACCGAUGGCAAGCUGUUCCUCCGCGCUCUUGGAAAGGAGAGGCAAGAGCUUGCAGAGCGAGUGAUGAUAACUAGGCUUAGCUUGUACGGCAAAUGGAUCAAGAAAUGUGACCACGCAAAAAUGUACGAGAAGAUCUCCAACGAGAACCUGGAGCUGAUGCGAGAGAGGCUCAUGGAGACGGUCAUCUGGCCCACCGACGACACCAACACAGAGAAGAUCGGCUGA
rnacentral:rRNA from 1 species